GACGAACGCUGGCGGCGUGCCUAAUACAUGCAAGUCGAACGCAGUGGGGACGGGUGAGUAACACGUGGGUAACCUCCCAUCAGAGGGGAUAACACUUGGAAACAGGUGCUAAACCGAUACUGAUGGAUGGACCCGCGGUGCAUUAGCUAGUUGGUGAGGUAACGGCUCACCAAGGCCACGAUGCAUAGGCGAACGGAUAGGGGGUUCGGACCAACUGGGACGGAGACACGGCCCGGAAUCCUACGGGAGGCAGCAGUAGGGAAUCUUCGGCAAGGGGCGAAAGGCUGACCGAGCAACGCCGCGGGAGUGAAGAAGGUUUUCGGAUCGUAAAACUCUGUUGUUAGAGAAGCGGUAUCUAACCAGAAAGCCACGGCUAACUACGUGCCAGCAGCCGCGGUAAUUC
rnacentral:rRNA from 1 species